rnacentral:rRNA from 1 species
ACUUACCAGGUCAAGACAUGGGCGUGAUUGACAGGCUAAUGACUUUUCUCGAUUCCAUGGAUGGUGGUGCAUGGUCGCACUUAGUUGGUGCAGUGAUUUGUCAGGUUUAUUCCGGUAACGAACGAGACCUCGGCCUUGUAAAUAGCUAUGCUGCUUACAGGGACAUUGGCGGCUACGCCAAGGAAGCUCGAGGCAAUUGCAGAUCUGGAAUGCCCUUAGAUGUCCUGGGUCGCACGCGUGCUACAAUGACGCCACGAACGAGCUUGCGUGAUGAAAGUUACGCAUAAUCAGCAGUCGGCGUCUUAAGGGAUAGUCUCUUGUAACUGUGGGACUCCAACUAGGAAUGUCUCGUAAGCACAAGUCAACAUCCUGUGUUGAUUACGUCCCUGCUCUUUGUACACACCGCCCGUCGCUCCUACCGAUCGAGUGUUUAGGUGAAUUUGAUGGACGUAAGGAAGUCAAAUAAACCUGAGCACUAGAGAAGAGAAGUCGAAGCAUUC